GCGGGUGUGCCACGGGGGAGGAACUGAGGGGAAUGGCUGUCCUUGUGACCAGCCACCUGGAUUCUGUUACCUGACGUUGUCUGGAGGAGAAGCAAACCGUCUAACAGGAGGCAGCGAUGCAAGUUGUAGGAAGGUGCCCACCGAAUUGUGGCUUGCACAGGCAACAGAGCCCUGGCGCGAGGGCUGGCUGGGGACAGCGAAGCGAGGGACGCAGCUUUGUGGCCCCGCGUGCCUGCCAGUGUCGUCCCGGAGGCGGGGCCGCGCUCUAAACCCACAGGGCUGGGCGGGGCUGAAGAUAGGUUUCCAGACCAAUGUGAGGGGCUGCUCCCAGCAGGCGGUUUGGCCCCGGCAGCAGCUUAGCAUCUGGGCCACACCACGCGGGCUCCCAGCGCUGUCCACCGCCCCUCCAGGAACGCGCUGGCCUCUUCUGCUGCGUGUGGAAACAAGGGAAACCCGGCCUCAAAGACUCUCAUGGGAGAACACUUGCCAGCUAAUGGCCAGGACACGGCCCCCUCCAACACCUCCUGCCCCUCCGCUGUUGAACUUCACACCCAAGUUUAUGUCACUGCUCCGUGCCCAGGACCUCGGAUGGCACCAGCUGACAGUGGCAUCCCAUCUCUACAAUUUGAGGUUUCACCCAUAUUCACAAAGGACCAGGGGGUGCAGGACCUCCAACCCAGGCAUCCAUGGAGGCUGACACAUCUGGAGGACAGUGGAAGCUGCAUUUGUAAAUCUCCCAGACUCAGCCCUGUGGGUCUCCUCUUUUGGCUUAUAU
ensembl:lncRNA